CGGGUUUCCGUGCAGAACAGCACGUUCGGGACGUGGGGGUCGCAGGUUCAAAUCCUGCCACUCCGACCA
rnacentral:tRNA from 1 species